UACGUAGGGUGCAAGCGUUGUCCGGAAUUAUUGGGCGUAAAGAGCUCGUAGGCGGUCUGUCACGUCGGCUGUGAAAACCCGGGGCUCAACCCCGGGCCUGCAGUCGAUACGGGCAGACUAGAGUGCGGUAGGGGAGACUGGAAUUCCUGGUGUAGCGGUGAAAUGCGCAGAUAUCAGGAGGAACACCGGUGGCGAAGGCGGUUCUCUGGGCCUUACCUGACGCUGAGGAGCGAAAGCGUGGGGAGCGAACAGG
rnacentral:rRNA from 1 species